GAAAUGCGAUAAGUAAUGUGAAUUGCAGAAUCUCGUGAAUCAUCGAAUCUUUGAACGCACAUUGCGCCCGCCAGUAUUCUGGCGGGCAUGCCUGUUCGAGCGUCAUUUCAACCAUCAAGCCCCCGGCUUGUGUUGGGGACCUGCGGCUGCCCGCAGGCCCUGAAAAACAGUGGCGGGCUCGCUGUCACACCGAGCGUAGUAGCAUACAUUCUCGCUCAGGGCGUGCUGCGGGUUCCGGCCGUUAAACGACCUUCAUAACCCAAGGUUGACCUCGGAUCAGGUAGGAAGACCCGCUGAACUUAAGC
rnacentral:misc_RNA from 1 species